rnacentral:rRNA from 1 species
GAUGAACGCGGGCGGCGUGCCUAACACAUGCAAGUCGAACGGAGAUUACGGACGGAAGUUUUCGGAUGGAAGCCUGUAAUUCUUAGUGGCGGACGGGUGAGUAACGCGUGGGCAACCUGCCCUAUACAGGGGGAUAGCAGCUGGAAACGGCUGGUAAGACCGCAUAAGUCGGUUGAAUCGCAUGAUUUGAUCGGGAAAUGAGCAAUCAGGUAUAGGAUGGGCCCGCGUCCGAUUAGCCAGUUGGCAGGGUAAAAGCCUACCAAAGCGACGAUCGGUAGCCGGACUGAGAGGUCGGACGGCCACAUUGGGACUGAGACACGGCCCAAACUCCUACGGGAGGCAGCAGUGGGGGAUAUUGCACAAUGGAGGAAACUCUGAUGCAGCGACGCCGCGUGAGUGAAGAAGUAUUUCGGUAUGUAAAGCUCUAUCAGCAGGGAAAGAUGAUGACGGUACCUG